rnacentral:rRNA from 1 species
CACGGGUGAGUAACACGUAGGUGACCUGCCCUUUAGUUUGGAAUAACCAAGAGAAAUUUUGGCUAAUACCGGAUAAGAAAAGCAAUUUUGGAAGUAGCUUUUGAAAGGAUGCCUCUGCAUAUGCAUUCGCUGAAGGAUGGGCCUGCGGGACAUUAGCUUGAUGGUGGGGUAACGGCCUACCAUGGCAACGAUGUCUAGCCGGAUUGAGAGAUUGAUCGGCCACACUGGGACUGAGACACGGCCCAGACUCC